rnacentral:rRNA from 1 species
UAUGGCUGUCGUCAGCUCGUGUCGUGAGAUGUUGGGUUAAGUCCCGCAACGAGCGCAACCCUCGUCCUAUGUUGCCAGCGAGUAAUGUCGGGGACUCAUAGGAGACUGCCGGGGUCAACUCGGAGGAAGGUGGGGAUGACGUCAAAUCAUCAUGCCCCUUAUGUCUAGGGCUGCACGCAUGCUACAAUGGUCGGUACAAAGGGCUGCGAUACCGCAAGGUGGAGCGAAUCCCAAAAAGCCGGCCUCAGUUCGGAUUGGGGUCUGCAACUCGACCCCAUGAAGUCGGAGUCGCUAGUAAUCGCAGAUCAGCAACGCUGCGGUGAAUACGUUCCCGGGCCUUGUACACACCGCCCGUA